GCGAGCACCACUUGCUUUUUUGAGGUGCUUACUGACUGGAACAAAGUUCCUCUGACAGGAAAUUUUGUUUUAUCAGCAGCGGGAUCAUCACAAAGAUAGGAAAGUUUCCUCUGACAAAACAAUUCAUUCAGCACUGGUGGCUGUUAAGAGCAGAGUGACCAUGGCAACCGGAAUAUGCACUGAAGACUGAAAACAGCAAAAUAAUGACAAAAGACCAACAACGUCACAUCAUUUCAAAGUGUUUUUGUUAAUAUUUAUCUGUAAAUUAUUUUGUAGCAUGCUUAAAUCAUAUGUCAUGUACACUGUCUGUAUGCUGUUUUAUAACUAUUAUAUAGCUAUUAUGUAUUUAAAUAGCUGUUAUACAAAUUACUGUUAAUUGAUAUAAACCUGUUC